rnacentral:rRNA from 1 species
AAACUGAAGAGUUUGAUCAUGGCUCAGAUUGAACGCUGGCGGCAGGCCUAACACAUGCAAGUCGAGCGGAAACGAUCCUAGCUUGCUAGGAGGCGUCGAGCGGCGGACGGGUGAGUACUGCAUAGGAAUUUACCCGGUAGUGGGGGAUAACCUGGGGAAACUCAGGCUAAUACCGCAUACGUCCUACGGGAGAAAGCGGGGUUUCGGCCUCGCGCUAUCGGAUGAGCCUAUGCCGGAUUAGCUGGUUGGUGAGGUAAUGGCUCACCAAGGCGACGAUCCGUAGCUGGUCUGAGAGGAUGAUCAGCCACAUCGGGACUGAGACACGGCCCGAACUCCUACGGGAGGCAGCAGUGGGGAAUAUUGGACAAUGGGGGCAACCCUGAUCCAGCCAUGCCGCGUGUGUGAAGAAGGCCCUCGGGUUGUAAAGCACUUUCAGCGAGGAAGAACGCCUGUCGGUUAAUACCCGAUAGGAAAGACAUCACUCGCAGAAGAAGCACCGGCUAACUCCGUGCCAGCAGCCGCGGUAAUACGGAGGGUGCAAGCGUUAAUCGGAAUUACUGGGCGUAAAGCGCGCGUAGGUGGCUUGAUAAGCCGGUUGUGAAAGCCCUGGGCUCAACCUAGGAACGGCAUCCGGAACUGUUAAGCUAGAGUGCAGGAGAGGAAGGUAGAAUUCCCGGUGUAGCGGUGAAAUGCGUAGAGAUCGGGAGGAAUACCAGUGGCGAAGGCGGCCUUCUGGACUGACACUGACACUGAGGUGCGAAAGCGUGGGUAGCAAACAGGAUUAGAUACCCUGGUAGUCCACGCCGUAAACGAUGUCGACCAGCCGUUGGGUGCCUUGAGCACUUUGUGGCGAAGUUAACGCGAUAAGUCGACCGCCUGGGGAGUACGGCCGCAAGGUUAAAACUCAAAUGAAUUGACGGGGGCCCGCACAAGCGGUGGAGCAUGUGGUUUAAUUCGAUGCAACGCGAAGAACCUUACCUACCCUUGACAUCGACAGAAGCCG